GUCUAUGGUCAUACCACCCUGAACACACCCAAUCUCAUCUGAUCUCAGAAGAAAACAGGGUUGGGCAUGGUUUUCUCUUGGGAUAGGAGAAAUAAAAAAUGCAGGGCAGACA
rnacentral:rRNA from 1 species